UCUGUUGCCUCAUGAGGUACGUACUACUGAGCUACCUGCCAAACAAUCUUUCUGCUUCAAGGCUAUGUCUUUUCAAGGAAUAUUUGUAUCUGGGCAUUUCAUUCUUGUUUCAAAAGCUGAUUGCCAACAGCACAGAUUGACUUGGCCCAGUAUCCAAGAUUCCUAUCACUGAAGAAACUGUACAUAUUCCCUAGUAUAAGCAAGAACACUGAAAACUGAAAGGAAGAUUCUUCUGGACAGAGUUUUAUAGUCAUCACUGACUUUCUCUGAAUAUAUAAGCCUAAUUUUCUGAAGUUUUACAGAGAAAGAAA